AACGAACGCUGGCGGCGUGUCUUAAGCAUGCAAGUCGAGCGGCAAGCAGUAGCAAUACUGCCUAGAGCGGCGGACUGGUGAGUAACGCGUGGGUGAUCUGCCCUUGGGAUGGGGAUAGCCGUUAGAAAUAGCGGGUAAUACCGAAUACGUUCGUCGGACUACGGUCCGAUGAAGAAAGGCGCUUUGGCGCCACCCGAGGAUGAGCCUGCGUCUCAUUAGCUAGUUGGUGGGGUAAAAGCCUACCAAGGCGAUGAUGAGUAGCCGGCCUGAGAGGGUGUACGGCCACACUGGGACUGAGAUACGGCCCAGACUCCUACGGGAGGCAGCAGCUAAGAAUAUUCCGCAAAUGGACGAAAGUCUGACGGAGCGACGCCGCGUGGAUGAUGAAGGCCGUGAGGUUGUAAAAUCCUUUUGCUGGGGAAGAAUAACCAUGGGAGGGAAUGCCCGUGGGAUGACAUGAACCGGCGAAUAAGCCCCGGCUAACUACGUGCC
rnacentral:rRNA from 1 species